AAUAAUACCUGGCGGGGAGAUAGCAUGAUCACAAAGCCUUCCAAGGGCAAGGCUUCUUCAUUGCUGACCCCUGUGAUUUCCCUAAAUGUGGGAAACUGCAUAAUUUGUGGUAGUGGGGGACUGCAUUUGUGCUCUCCCCUG
ensembl:snRNA U1 U1 spliceosomal RNA